rnacentral:rRNA from 1 species
GACAGAGGGGGCAAGCGUUGCUCGGAAUUACUGGGCGUAAAGGGCGCGUAGGCGGGAUGGCAAGUCGGUCGUGAAAUGCCUCGGCUCAACUGAGGAUCGUCGAUCGAUACUGCCGUUCUUGAGGAUUGCAGAGGAGACUGGAAUUCCCGGUGUAGCGGUGAAAUGUGUAGAGAUCGGGAGGAACACCGGUGGCGAAGGCGGGUCUCUGGGCCGAUACUGACGCUGAGGAGCGAAAGCGUGGGGAGCGAACAGG